CAAAAAAAGCUAGGAAAAGCCAAGAGGACGGCUGAGGAUAGCAGAUAGGUUUGGCGGCUAGGGUUUGAGAGAGCUAGGAGGGUUGAGUUACGAGAAGAGGAAGGAAACCAAGGAGGGGGAAUUCUGGGAACGGCUGAAAAGAAAGGGGUAAGGUACAGCGGCUGGGGUUUUGGGGAUGAAAGGUAGAGCUUACGGCUAGGGCAUUAGAAAAAAAUGGGAGAAGGUUUUGGGAACAGCGGCUGAAGAGAGAGAUCGAAAAGGAGAGAGCGAGAGAGGUAGGCAGCCGAGAGUUCUUCGACCGAGAGAAAAGCUUGGCGGCUGGGAAAGAAAAGAAGCUACGAGCUGGGCAGAAAAACAGGAAAGCUGCCGGAAAAAGAAAAGGGAGAAAGGGAGGUUGAGCGAGGAAGAAGCCGAGAGUGUGAGAUAGAGAGUAAGGGUGGCGGCUGGGAAAACAGAGAGGAAGAAAACCAGGAAAAGAAAAAGGAUAGAUCUUCGGCUAGCAUCCCCUGCAUCAGCGUUGGAAUCUUCCGCAACCCAGUUCAUGGAUUUCGUUUGCCAGAACCGUUCGAUUUCUAGGAGCCUCUCCUGUUCGUUUAGCAGCCUAAGUGCUCUCAGGUCUUAAUUUGGUUUGAAGAAUGGAAAAGAAAAAAAAAAAAAAGAGUGACAAUGAGGUCUGUUCUCAACCUUUGUCCCCUCCACCACCUGUUGUACCACCGGGCGUAAAGCCUGAGAAAGCAGAUAGGCCUGAACGUACCUUAAUCAGUAGGCCGGGGUUUGGGAGAUCUGGGCGACCUGUCUCUCUGCUCACUAACUACUUUAGAGGCUCUGCCAACCACCCAGAUGAAAUUUUUUAUCAAUACACGUUCGGGGCAAGGGAAAACUGUUAACAGCAAGGGAAUUGGGAGAAAUGUUAUGGAUAAACUUUUCCAGACCUAUUUCUCCGAGUUAGCUGGAAAAAAUUUGCAUAUGAUGGAGAAAAAGCUCUAUAUACAGCACGUCCUCUGCCUAAAAUUAAGUCAGCUCCUCGUAGUUCUGCAGGAGUUCAUGGUCAAACGGGUGAGUCCUUCCCAGACAGGAAGUCCCAGUGAGUCCGGUAAAAGAUCAAAGCGUUCUCUGCAAUGUAAAUCAUUUACAGUAGAUAUCAGUUACGCUGCCAAAAUACUCUUGGAGUCAAUUUUUCUUGCCCUUCAAGGAGCUGAACCAGAAAGAGUUCAAGGUGCAUUAAGAGUUCUUUGAUAUUGUACUGAGACAACAAGCUGCUAAUAGGGGUUGCCUUUUGGUGAGGCAGUCGUUCUUCCAUGAUGGUUUGAGGUUUUUUCACUGAUAUUGGAGCGGGUGUUACUGAUUGUUGGGGAUUCCAUACAAGCUUUCGGCUGAAGCCUUAGAGGAUUCGGAUUGUAACCAAUCCUAUGAAAAAUUAUCCAUAUGAUGAUGAACCUAUCCUCUCUGCUUGCGGUAUCUGCAUUGAAGAACAGCUUAGUCAAGUUGAUGGCCGUGUCCUAGAUGCACCAAAGUUGAAGGUUAGUAGCAAUGAAGAUUGCUUCGCUCGUAAUGGCCGGUGGAACUUCAACAACAAGUUAGUGAUGCAUUUUCUUCUUGUAAAGAAACUAGUACAUCCAAUGAAGAUAGAACUUUGGGCAGUUGUCAACUUCUCUGCCCGUUAUGACACCAGUUAUCUUUCAAGGGAGCUUAUUAAUUGUGUAAGAAAGAAGGACAUUCAUAUAAAACAACCAUAUUCACUGAUAGAGGAAGCCAAAAAUCUAUAACUUAGCGUUGCAGAAUGAGUUCAGAUGAUGCAGCUUAAGUCCAAGCUUCCUAAAGCUCCUCAAUUUCUGCUAUGUGUACUGGCAGAGUGGAAAAUUUCUGAUAUAUACGUUUAAAUUUUCUGGGUAGUGUGACAAAACUUAUACUGAUUGAGUUCUAUUUAUGACAUCAAGGCCCUUGGAAGAAAAUGAAUCUCUGUGAUCAUGGUAUUGUUACUCAAUGCCUGUCUCCCUCCAAGAUCAAUGACCAAUACCUGACAAAUGUACUUCUUAAAAUCAAUGCUAAGCUUGGAGGGAUCAAUUCGUUGGUAUCAAUAGAGUGACCCUCGCGUAUCCCACUUGUCAAGGAUACUCCAACAAUGAUCUUGGGGAUGGAUGUCUCUCAUGGGCCACCUAACCAAUCACUUGUUCCAUCUAUAGCUGCUGUAAUUAUGCUACACAGAAUUAUUGCCUGCACAUACCAAUUUUGUCUGUGAUGCUGAAGUUUUCCCAUUUUUCUUAUCUUUAUUGACCAGUUCGUUGGAUCUAGAUCUUGUCCAUUUGAUGUCAAAGUACAGAGCUGCUGUUCGUAAGCAAUCAUGAAAGUUGGAAAUGAUUGAAUCAUUAGCAAAUGGAGAAGAUGAUGGCAUCAUGAGGCGUGUUUAAUUUGGAAUUGUCCUUUAGUCUAGUAACAUCAUUAAGAAUUCUGUGGAACUUACAGGCAAACUGAAUUACUACAUAUCUUAAUCAUAUUUCAGCGAACUGCUUUUGGACUUUUAUGCUGCAAUAAUGUGCAAAAACCAGCUCAGAUUAUUGUUUUCAGGUAUACUCUUGUUGAGGCUAAAGCUUAUAUUGCUGUAGAACUUACACAUCUUCACUUAGUAGAUUGUUGGUGAACAAUUUGCCAGCUUUACAUUUAUUUAGAUGGUUUGUGAAGACUGAUUCUAAUAACUGACAAAUAAGAAGUCGUACAUCAUCUUCUUUUUCUUUUUUUUUUUUUGGUUGGUGAGGGGGUAGGGGCAAUGGUUUUUGGAUUAUUUCUGCCUAUGGCAUUAGUUUGCUUCUUUAGUAAGUAUCACUCGAGUAUAGAUGAAUGGAAUGCAAGGACAUUGCUUUUGCUUUGCACAACUAGUCCACCCUGCCCUGGUUUGUGAACUAGACAUGUUCGGUUGCAUUAAUAACAUAGUGCUGCCAUGACAUUUUCAAUUGGGAAUUCCAGAAAUGACAUUUGGUUCUUACUUUUAGUGAUAGGAAAGCUUAUCAGGAUGCAUAUGGCUAUUAAAAAUAAAUCCAUUUAUGCAGUCUUUUCAUGCUAAAUAUCCAUUUGAAUUUACACUGGAUUGUUGAAAGCUUAGUUGCCUUACUCUUAUUCUAUGAUUGUUUCUUGUUUGGGGUUUAACGAUUUUCUCAUGCAGGGACAACUUCUGCUUGCUUAUUUAUCUUUAUCGUAAAUAAGAACAUUUGUUCUAUGUGAUAAAUCAACCAUUGUCGUGGUUUAUUGACCGUAUCUUUCCCUCUCAGGGAUGGAGUGAGUGAAUCACAACUUAGUCAGGUCCUGAAUUUUGAGCAUGAUCAAAUGAUAAAGGAAUUUCAGCCAUUAUGCACAUCGUGAUUUGAUGUUUUCCUUUGAGGAAACAUUUUCUGCUUGGUCUAGUGAGGUCUUUGGGGGUUUAUAGAUCUGUCAUGUUUUCAUAGGAUCUUUUCCAUUUCCUCCAAAUGAUUGUACCCUGUCUAAUCAAGUGAAGACUUUAUUAUGUCAAUGGUUGUGCGAAUAUUUUGUAACUCAGAAAGCCAUCUGUCGUGCUGUAGUGUCCACAAGCAGGUGUUUAGUCCAUCUGGAGUCUGCACCCCUUUUCCUUAUUAUUUUCUUCGAGGUUUCCAAAUUUUUCAGGCUUGCAACGAGUACGCUUACGAGCAUCUUGGUGAGGUGGACUUUCCCAAAUUCACUGUGAUUGUGGCUCAAAAGAAUCAACAGACCAAAUUAUUUCAAGAUGGUGCCCCAGAAAAUUUUCCACCAGGUACUGUUGUGGACACAAAAGUAGUCCGUCCGAGAAAUUAUGACUUUUUCAUGCGUGCCCAAGCAGGGAUGAUUUUAAGUUAUUAGUAUCUGGAUUGGGUUUAUGUAGUUAAAUGGUAUUCUAAGUCGUGAAAUGAUCACCUUGCUAGUAAUUUCCUCGAUCCGGAGAAUACUGAAGGUAGAUGCAGAACCUGAAACUUGACAUUUAAAUAAGACUUAAGAUAUCGUAUAAAAACAUCCCUCGUGGUCAACUGAAAUACAAGGCGGAAUUUUUCCCUUCAAGGUUAAGGAAUUGUGUGCCAAAAAUGUGUCUAUGCUGAAGAUAGCUUGGUAAUGCUUCGCUUGAAAGUAAAGAAAUUUCGCUUUCUUCAAUUAACUGGGAACUUCUUGGCCUGCCCACUAUCAUGUCUGGCUUAAUGUGAUUGGUUUCUCUCCUGAUCACUUACAACACCUCAUCCUUUGUCUCUCAUGUGUCUAAGAUAGAGUGUGUUCUUUUCUUUCCAUCGAUUUUGCUGCCUCUAGCUUAGCUUCUUCAUUUGAUUAACAUAAUUAUGUUUGGCUAUUGUAGCUGCCAGAGGAGUACCACUGCUAUUUCCAUUGCGGCUCCCGUUUAUUAUGUACAUCUUGCAGCCCAGCAAAUGGGGCAGUUUAUAAAGUUUGAGGAUUCUUCUGAAACUUCUUCCGAGCACAAGAGUGACAUCAAUUCACUUGGUAGCAUUUGAGUUCCUAAGCUCCCCAGCUAGAGGAAAAGGUUGCACGCUCCAUAUUCUUUUGCUGAAGUUGCUGAUUUUGAUUUAAGUACCUGCAAUAAUUUAGUAAUAUACUGUUUAGCCAACUCCAACUGUCCAUCUUGCAGGCUAGAACCUUUUGAAUUAAUCCCAUCCUCCUCCUCAAUCUAGAAAACCUUGAGGAUUUGCAGGAUUUAUUAUGUCAGCUCUGACAUAUUGUAGAACCAUGUCCUUGAAAUAACUUCAUUUUUUGCUGAUUAUGUGCAUUGCACCAACUGUAGGAUUCUUGGGCAUAUUAAUUCGAAGUUCAUCUCGGUGGGAUGUUAGAUCUCAACUACUGUCAUAUCUUCUACCAUGUAACUAUCUCCCUCUUGCAUAUUCUUCGCUUUUCCCAGCAGUUGCUAUUGAUGGUUUUUUAAGCCGAAGUUGUGAUAAAAAUGGUGGAGAAACUCGAUUCAUCUGUUUCAGUUUCGUCUAGACUCAAUAUCUUGAAAGCAGAUUGAUUCAUCCUUUAUUGGGCUAUGAAACGCAAGUACCAUGGAGAAGAGGACAGAACAAAAGCAGCAUUACAUGCUCGUGAUGAUAUUGACACUUGAACUAAGGGAAAUCAGGAAUACUUGCUAUUACAGAGCAUGCAAAAAGUGAUGUUCUCAGAACUGUUUCUUUCUUCUGCAAAUAUUUUCUUCAAGUUCCUGACUUGAGAGAAAGAAGUUACUCUUCUGGGCUUCUGUUACGAUUUAAGAAUGCAGCAAGUCACCAUUGACUUGAAAUUUUUCAAGGAGAAUCUAAAAUGGUUGUUAAGACAUUGGUUUUAUAGUCUUAAUAAUGUAAAUUUAAUAUGCUGUGCUAAGCAAUUCCAAUCCAGUGGUGUAAUCUAAUUCUAGC